rnacentral:rRNA from 1 species
GCGUAUCCAACCUGCCCACCACUUGGGGAUAACCUUGCGAAAGUAAGACUAAUACCCAAUGAUAUCUCUAGAAGACAUCUGAAAGAGAUUAAAGAUUUAUCGGUGAUGGAUGGGGAUGCGUCUGAUUAGCUUGUUGGCGGGGUAACGGCCCACCAAGGCAACGAUCAGUAGGGGUUCUGAGAGGAAGGUCCCCCACAUUGGAACUGAGACACGGUCCAAACUCCUACGGGAGGCAGCAGUGAGGAAUAUUGGACAAUGGAGGCAACUCUGAUCCAGCCAUGCCGCGUGAAGGAAGACUGCCCUAUGGGUUGUAAACUUCUUUUAUAGAGGAAGAAACGCAGAUACGUGUAUUUGUUUGACGGUACUCUACGAAUAAGGAUCGGCUAACUCCGUGCCAGCAGCCGCGGUAAUACGGAGGAUCCAAGCGUUAUCCGGAAUCAUUGGGUUUAAAGGGUCCGCAGGCGGUUGUUUAAGUCAGAGGUGAAAGUUUGCAGCUCAACUGUAAAAUUGCCUUUGAUACUGAAUAACUUGAGUUAUAAUGAAGUGGUUAGAAUAUGUAGUGUAGCGGUGAAAUGCAUAGAUAUUACAUAGAAUACCGAUUGCGAAGGCAGAUCACUAAUUAUAUACUGACGCUGAGGGACGAAAGCGUGGGGAGCGAACAGGAUUAGAUACCCUGGUAGUCCACGCCGUAAACGAUGGUCACUAGCUGUUUGGACUUCGGUCUGAGUGGCUAAGCGAAAGUGAUAAGUGACCCACCUGGGGAGUACGGUCGCAAGAUUGAAACUCAAAGGAAUUGACGGGGGCCCGCACAAGCGGUGGAGCAUGUGGUUUAAUUCGAUGAUACGCGAGGAACCUUACCAGGGCUUAAAUGUAGAGUGACAGGUCUAGAGAUAGAUUUUUCU